rnacentral:tRNA from 1 species
CCUCUGGUAGCUCAGUUGGUAGAGCGGUGGACUAGAGAUCCAUAGGUCGCUGGUUCAAAUCCGGCCCGGAGGA